rnacentral:rRNA from 1 species
CUUCUAAACCUUUGACGAUUGACUCAUGUUGCCUCGGCGGGUUCUCCCGCCAGAGGAUACAUCAAAACUCCUGUUUUAACGGUGUUGUCUGAGCUACAAGCAACGAAUCAAAACUUUCAACAACGGAUCUCUUGGUUCUGGCAUCGAUGAAGAACGCAGCGAAAUGCGAUAAGUAGUGUGAAUUGCAGAAUUCAGUGAAUCAUCGAAUCUUUGAACGCACAUUGCGCCCCUUGGUAUCCCGAGGGGCAUGCCUGUUCGAGCGUCAUUUCACCACUCAAGCCUGGCUUGGUGUUGGGCGACGUCCCCUUUAGGGACGCGCCUCGAAACGCUCGGCGGCGUGGCACCGGCUUUAAGCGUAGCAGAAUCUUUCGCUUUGAAAGUCGGGGCCCCGUCUGCCGGAAGACCUACUCGCAAGGUUGACCUCGGAUCAGGCAGGGAUACCCGCUGAACUUAAGCAUAUCAAUAAGCGGAGGAAAAGAAACCAACAGGGAUUGCCUCAGUAACGGCGAGUGAAGCGGCAACAGCUCAAAUUUGAAAUCUGGCUCUUUUAGGGUCCGAGUUGUAAUUUGUAGAGGAUGCUUCGGCGUCGGCUCCGGUCUAAGUUCCUUGGAACAGGACGUCAUAGAGGGUGAGAAUCCCGUAUGUGAUCGGUUGCCCUUGCCAUGUGAAGCUCCUUCGACGAGUCGAGUUGUUUG